rnacentral:rRNA from 1 species
CCCUUAGAUGUCCGGGGCUGCACGCGCGCUACACUGAAGGAAUCAGCGUGCUAAAACCAUUGUCGAAAGGCAUUGGUAAACCCAUUAAAAUCCUACGUGAUUGGGAUCGGGAAUUGCAAUUAUUUCCCUUGAACGAGGAAUUCCCAGUAAGUGUGGGUCAUAAGCUCGCGUUGAUUACGUCCCUGCCCUUUGUACACACCGCCCGUCGCUGCCCGGGACUGAGCCGUUUCGAGAAAAGCGGGGACUGCUGCUGUCGGGGCUUUCGGGCCUUGGCUUCGGUGGAAACCGCUUUAAUCGAAGUGGCUUGAACCGGGCAAAAGUCGUAACA